UGAGGAAUAUUGGUCAAUGGACGAGAGUCUGAACCAGCCAAGUAGCGUGCAGGAUGACGGCCCUAUGGGUUGUAAACUGCUUUUGUUUGGGAAUAAUCGACAUUACGUGUAAUGUUUUGCAUGUACCAUUCGAAUAAGGACCGGCUAAUUCCGUGCCAGCAGCCGCGGUAAUACGGAAGGUCCAGGCGUUAUCCGGAUUUAUUGGGUUUAAAGGGAGUGUAGGCGGUUGGUUAAGCGUGUUGUGAAAUGUAGAUGCUCAACAUCUGACUUGCAGCGCGAACUGGCUGACUUGAGUACACACAACGUAGGCGGAAUUCAUGGUGUAGCGGUGAAAUGCUUAGAUAUCAUGAAGAACUCCGAUUGCGAAGGCAGCUUACGGGAGUGUUACUGACGCAUAAGCUCGAAGGUGCGGGUAUCGAACAGG
rnacentral:rRNA from 1 species